AAUAGUGUUCUUACUUCUGACAAGCCUCUUGCAACAGAUACAUACAAAUAAGGUUGUUUCUGGUGUGGGUCAAAGAAAGCUUUAGGAAAAGUGAAUGAAAUUAAAAUGCAGGCUUUCUUACCAAGACUUGUAGGACAUGAAAGAAUGCAGACACGUCAGUUCUCUGUUGAUGGUAAUAACUUCUAUCAUAGUAGUGGAUAACUAGUUACAGAACAAACAAAGACUAUGAUAAGAAUGAGUGCAACAAAGCAGUGAUAUCGUAACAGUGGUGGCAUCUUUAGUGUCAUAACGAGAUUCAGAAGCACUCGCAUGAAGUUCAGGUUAAUGAACCAUGGAAAGUGCUUGUGUUUGCAAGGGUAACCACACCCAUGUGAUUGGAAGUUUAUUUAUUAUAUAAUUUUUCUUUUUCAACUUGAAAAUAAUACAUUGUCUUCUGUUUUAUUAAUGAGUGAAGGUGAAUAUUGGUCAUUAAAAAAAGGUGAAGAAAAAAAAAAAAAGGCAGAGGAAGUUGACUGGUAACAUUUGCAAACACAACUUUGGAUCUCUGUGUCACAUUUACCGUCCUGGUGCCAAGAUAGUGACAAUGCUCAGUACAGCGUUUUAUCCGCUUGUCUGAGACCCCACACCAAAGUUUGUGCAAGGUUGGCUUGUAUGUCAGUUUGAAAUCAAGAUAAAUUUCCCCAUCACUGUAAUUAUGUUCAACUGGAUGCGAAUUUUGGAUUCCUCAGUUCUCAAAGCUAAGACAAAGUAGGACAAAGGAUGCACAGAUUAGAAAGAUAACAGUAUGAGUGAAAUGAUAGUACUUUUUCUUUUAAUUUUAUUCUACCAUCCUUCUUAACGAUGCACAGAUUGCAUGAAAAGUGAUAAGUCUUAAUCAAGAUCUCAAAGUGGUAUACAAGCACAUCCAAGUGUGUAUUGUUGCCUGUUGUAUCCUAACUGUAUAUAGCGGAACCUAUCCUAGUCGUGUAGUUCGCUGUGCUGUACCCCAUAAUGUGCAUUUGUAAAAAGUAUUCUCCAGCACAUGUACAGUUAGCAACAUAACCUUUCAUGAACAUAUUACAGUGUGCGAUGUAAUAAUGUACAGCUCUAUAACUACGAUAAUAUAAGAAUUUGGUUAGUGUAAUAUGAUAUUAAAAGGAGAACCAUGUCGCUGUGGGGUAAAAAAAAAUUUGUUUCAGCCAUUUUCAUUUUCCUUAUACACAAUAAAGGAAAAAAGAAAUCUGUUUUGUUAAGUAACAUCAAUUUGUAUGAUUUUACUAAAGUUGUUUACCAAGAAAAAGUAAUGCAAUGGCAAAUUUAAGAAAUAUACGUUGUUGUUUUUUUUCUACUGUAAAGAUAUAUAUAUAUAUCAAUGUGCACAAAUAUUUGGUACAUACUAAUUGCUGUGAAAGAAUUUCUACUGAAUGGAAAAAGAAAAUGUAUAUUUAAUGAUUUUUUGUGGUCUUUCACUAAUAGUUGACAUGUAUAGGUAAAAUAACACUACUGAUAUUGUAAGAUAUCAGCUUUUGGAUUAAGUUAUUAUUUAUUUGGAAGAGUAGAAACUAAAGGUACAUUUUGUAAUAAUUAAAUUACUUAGGGCAAGAUCUAAGUAUGUUUAAUUGCAACUGUAGUGUUCACUAUCAUUUUGCUUAAAUUGUAUAAAUAAUGAGUGAGAAGCCAUCUUCUUUAUCAUUUGAUACAUAUCUCAUUUGGUAUUGCAUAUCUUAGCUCUUACUUGUGAAGCAGUAAUGGAAAAAAACGGACUCACAUUAGGCAGUUUACUGAUGUUGUGUUAUUCACCUUUUUUCUAUUAUGUGCUAUUUAUGCUUAGAAUAAAUUUUGUAUGUGUGGGAGAAAAAUAGUUUAUUUAUUCAUUAUUUCACUACGUAUAACAAGCUAGCAAUAUAUUUAUAUGGUUAGUCUGUAGUGGGAAAAAAGUGCUCAGAGAAAAAAGGAAAACAGUUAUAUCAAUUUACUUCAGUGUCACAAAACAUUCAUGGCAGUUGUGGUCAUGGAAAUGCAAGAUUCUAAAAAGAAAAAGGUGGAUACUUCUUUAGAUCAGCUCGCUACUUUACAAAACUUUGUAAUACAGCUAAUUAAUUGUGCUCAGAAUUAGAGUUGUAAUAGGUUAAUUUUCAGGUAUAUUUUGAAAUGACAAAGAGCAUAUAAUCAUUCUACGUAUGAGCUCAUUUGUUUAUGGUAGCUUCUUAGACGUUAACAUUGCUUUUUCAGUACCUGCAAGCUCUGAAAAUAAUGGUUUGUUUAGUUACACUACCAUAAGCUUCAUUUGGAAACCAGUUAAAAAGUGAUAUGGUAAACUAUUUUCACUAGUCACUUCUGACGUUUGACUAUUUGGUCAGACUGAAGAAGAAGGCCUUGUUGAUAUUGUGUAAUGAUGUAAUGGGAGUCGUUUCCAUUAUGUAGUAGGGUAUUGGAUGGUGUAUUCCCUGCAGUUUCUGAUUCCUUAUUUACCUUCUGAUAAGCAUCUGAUAAGCAAGCUUUAGUUCAGAUUGAGAAGCAGAAUUUUUUUCCUAAUUUAAUGUUAAUUACACAAUGCAAGUAAAUUUAUAUUCAUAUCUGAAUAUGCAUUUUGUAGUCUGUACGUAUGAGUGUCUUCAUCUGUAGACUUGUUCUACAGAAUUACCCUGUAUUUAUUUUGUACAGUAUUUUGUAAUAUGUAAAGCUUAUUUCCUUACAUGUUACAUGUUGUAGCAGCAGUAGCUUAGCUUCAAAAGUUCAGGCCAGCUUUAAUAUCUUUUUGUUGUAUUUUAUUGUAAGGACUUAUCAUGUCCAAAGUGAACAUUCAUUUCUGAUGUUCUACUAUGGUGACAAUGCCAGAACCACACUGCCAAGACUGCAGUGGGUUCUGCUCUCUUGGUACUGUAUUAUUGAUGAUACAGUACAAUAUAAUACAAGCAAGUGAAGAGUAAACUUACCCCCCUCUUUUUUUUUAGCAGGUUUGUCUCAAUAAACAUUGCUGGGGCAUGUGGACUAUAAAACGCUCAAGCUUUGUAUCUAAACACAUUUUUGAGUUGGUGCUUCAGUACAGAAAAAAAACUUAAUUGUUAUUCAAUUCUUGUUGUAUCAAGUAGGUCAGUUGUAAUGGCCUAACAUACUGGCAUUGUAGUCAGUAUUAUAUACACACAAAAACAAAAUAAAACAGGAUAAUUGACUGUGCAUCAUGUAUUAUGAUGUUAUGUUUGCAUAACCAAUGUUCCAUGUAGAAUGAAGCAAAGUAUUUUACAAAGAAGUGAAUGAAUCAGUCAAGACAAAAUUACCGUAAGUCAGUGUUCCCACUAAUAUCUGUAUAAGUCAGGAUUACCAACAUAUUUUGUCAGAAAAGCAUUCUACAGAUUGAUGCCAACAGAAGCUCUUGCAAUUUUCCAUUCAGGUGAAACUUUCAGAAUUAGGGAUUUCUUACAAAAUCUAUAUAGACAUUAAUAUCAUUUUAUUUUUUAUUUUUUUUAUACCUCAAACAUUUUUUUGGUUCCAUAUAUUGCACUUCUCUCUCUCAAGUGAUACUAUUAAAAAGCCAUAGUGCAGAAAUACUGCUCUUUCUGUUCAUGUAGCCUUUGGCUGUAAUCCUGUUUAACGAUAUGUAUUGUUAGGCAUUACUUGAUGUAAUUCCAAGAACAGUGAAUAAAUGAUAAUCCUGUUGG